CCUACGAGUGGCAGCAGUGAGGAAUAUUGGUCAAUGGCCGGAAGGCUGAACCAGCCAAGCCGCGUGAAGGACGAAGGUGCCAAGCAUUGUAAACUUCUUUUGUCGGGGAGCAAAGAGAGUCACGUGUGGCUCAUUGAGAGUACCCGAAGAAAAAGCAUCGGCUAACUCCGUGCCAGCAGCCGCGGUAAUACGGAGGAUGCGAGCGUUAUCCGGAUUUAUUGGGUUUAAAGGGUGCGCAGGCGGAGGUGCAAGUCAGUGGUCAAAUUGCGGGGCUCAACCCCGUACUGCCGUUGAAACUGCAUCCCUUGAGUGCGCGAGAAGUAUGCGGAAUGCGUGGUGGAGCGGUGAAAUGCAUAGAUAUCACGCAGAACUCCGAUUGCGAAGGCAGCAUACCGGCGCGCAACUGACGCUCAUGCACGAAAGCGUGGGUAUCGAACAGGAUUAGAUACCCGGGUAGUC
rnacentral:rRNA from 1 species